UGGAGGGUUAAAAGGAAUAAUUUCAACAGGGUGAAGGCCUGGCACGGUGGCUCACAACUGUAAUCCCAGGACUUUGGGAGGCUGAGGUUACAGUGAGCUGAGAUCGCACCCCUGUACUCCAGCCUAGGUGACAAAGCAGCAAGACUCAGUCUCAAAACAAACAAACAAAAAAAAACGGGAAAACAGGUACAGACAAUAGCUGCCCGGAGUUAUACAGAAACUUGAUUGGGUAACCCUGGACCUUUCCAGGCUGUGGCCAGCAGUUGACCCUGCCUGCCUUUCCUCCAUUGUUUUCACAUGUCUGACCUUCUCUGUCACAAAGUAGUGGCCUACUAGAGUCUCUCUGGAGGGAGCAAGGAGGCUCAGUGGCCCAGUUCAGCAAUUCGAAGUCCCUUUGUUUUGUGCUUCCAACCUGUUUUGUUCCCCUUCAGAGUUCUCUCGCCUUCCAAUAAAAACUUCCCUGUCCUGUGCCCCAGUCCCUCAGAGUCCACAAGAGGUUCAACUUGCUCAUCUGAUGUGUGAACUACAUCACACAGUUGAAUGAGAGUUUGACAAUUGCAACAGAACUUCUAUAAAUACAUCACUUAUUGUA
rnacentral:sRNA from 1 species